UGUUGGCUAGAGGUCACCAGAGGG
rnacentral:piRNA from 1 species